UACGUAGGGGGCAAGCGUUGUCCGGAAUCAUUGGGCGUAAAGCGCGUGUAGGCGGUUCGGUAAGUCUGCUGUGAAAGUCCAGGGCUCAACCCUGGGAUGCCGGUGGAUACUGUCGGGCUAGAGUACGGAAGAGGCAAGUGGAAUUCCCGGUGUAGCGGUGAAAUGCGCAGAUAUCGGGAGGAACACCAAUUGCGAAGGCAGCUCGCUGGGACGUCACUGACGCUGAGACGCGAAAGCGUGGGGAGCGAACAGG
rnacentral:rRNA from 1 species